UGCAAGUCGAACGAAGUCUUCGGACUUAGUGGCGCACGGGUGAGUAACAUGUGGGAAUCUGCCUGAAGGUUCGGAAUAACUAUGGGAAACUGUAGCUAAUACCGGAUGUGUCUGAAAAGAGAAAGAUUUAUCGCCUUCAGAUGAGCCCGCACUAGAUUAGCUAGUUGGUGAGGUAAUUGCUCCACCAAGGCUACGAUCUAUAGCUGAUUUGAGAGGAUGAUCAGCCACACUGGGACUGAGACACGGCCCAGACUCCUACGGGAGGCAGCAGUAGGGAAUAUUGGACAAUGGGGGAAACCCUGAUCCAGCAAUGCCGCGUGAGUGAAGAAGGCCUUCGGGUUGUAAAACUCUUUCAUCAAUGAUGAUAAUGACAUUAGUUGAAGAAGAAGCUCCGGCUAACUUCGUGCCAGCAGCCGCGGUAAUACGAAGGGGGCUAGCGUUGUUCGGAAUCACUGGGCGUAAAGCGUAUGUAGGCGGAUCAAAAAGUUAGAUGUGAAAUCCCUGAGCUCAACUCAGGAACUGCAUUUAAAACUAGUGAUCUAGAAAUUGGUAAGGGUUAGUAGAAUUUCCAGUGUAGAGGUGAAAUUCGUAGAUAUUGGAAAGAAUACCAGAGGCGAAGGCGACUAACUAGGCCAUUUUUGACGCUGAGAUACGAAAGCGUGGGUAGCAAACAGGAUUAGAUACCCUGGUAGUCCACGCAGUAAACGAUGAGUGCUAGUCGCUGGGACAAUAGUUUCAGUGUCGAAGCUAACGCAUUAAGCACUCCGCCUGGGAAGUACGGUCGCAAGAUUAAAACUCAAAUAAAU
rnacentral:rRNA from 1 species